UGGGGAAUAUUGCACAAUGGGCGAAAGCCUGAUGCAGCAACGCCGCGUGCGGGAAGAAGGCCCUAGGGUUGUAAACCGCUUUCAGCAGGGAAGAAAAUGACGGUACCUGCAGAAGAAGGUGCGGCCAACUACGUGCCAGCAGCCGCGGUGACACGUAGGCACCAAGCGUUGUCCGGAUUUAUUGGGCGUAAAGAGCUCGUAGGCGGUUUAGUAAGUCGGGUGUGAAAACUCUGGGCUCAACCCAGAGACGCCACCCGAUACUGCUAUGACUUGAGUACGGUAGGGGAGUGGGGAAUUCCUGGUGUAGCGGUGAAAUGCGCAGAUAUCAGGAGGAACACCAGUGGCGAAGGCGCCACUCUGGGCCGUAACUGACGCUGAGACACGAAAGCGUGGGGAGCAA
rnacentral:rRNA from 1 species